CUACGGGUUGCUCCAGUGGGGAAUAUUGCACAAUGGGCGCAAGCCUGAUGCAGCCAUGCCGCGUGUAUGAAGAAGGCCUUCGGGUUGUAAAGUACUUUCAGCGGGGAGGAAGGGAGUAAAGUUAAUACCUUUGCUCAUUGACGUUACCCGCAGAAGAAGCACCGGCUAACUCCGUGCCAGCAGCCGCGGUAAUACGGAGGGUGCAAGCGUUAAUCGGAAUUACUGGGCGUAAAGCGCACGCAGGCGGUUUGUUAAGUCAGAUGUGAAAUCCCCGGGCUCAACCUAGGAACUGCAUCUGAUACUGGCAAGCUUGAGUGUCGUAGAGGGGGGUAGAAUUCCAGGUGUAGCGGUGAAAUGCGUAGAGAUCUGGAGGAAUACCGGUGGCGAAGGCGGCCCCCUGGACGAAGACUGACGCUCAGGUGCGAAAGCGUGGGGAGCAAACAGGAUUAGAUACCCCCGUAGUC
rnacentral:rRNA from 1 species